rnacentral:misc_RNA from 1 species
AAGGAUUUUAACGGAAUAUAAGACCUUGGGUCUUAUAAACAGAACG